GACGAACGCUGGCGGCGUGCCUAACACAUGCAAGUCGAGCGGGGUUGAAGCGAGGGGUAACUCGAGUUUCUACCUAGCGGCGGACGGGUGAGUAACGCGUGGGCAACCUGCCUCAAGGACUGGGAUAACAGCUCGAAAGGGCUGCUAAUACCGGAUAUGCCUGUGGCCUCGCAUGGGGCUAUGAGCAAAGGGGAAACCCGCCUUGAGAUGGGCCCGCGUCCCAUCAGCUAGUUGGUGAGGUGAAGGCUCACCAAGGCGACGACGGGUAGCCGGCCUGAGAGGGUGACCGGCCACACUGGGACUGAGACACGGCCCAGACUCCUACGGGGGGCAGCAGUGGGGAAUAUUGCACAAUGGGCGAAAGCCUGAUGCAGCGAUGCCGCGUGAGGGAAGAAGGUUUUCGGAUUGUAAACCUCUGUCAUCUGGGACGAUAAUGACGGUACCAGAGAAGGAAGCUCCGGCUAACUACGUG
rnacentral:rRNA from 1 species